ACACAACAAUCUCGCUCACUGUCCUCUCCACCCGACGGGCAGACACACUUCCUAGGCUUAAAAUUACGGUAGGAACCGCUAAAAACAUAACAACCUCGCGUCCUCUCUACUCGACGGACAGGCACACUUCCUUUGCUGUGAAUUACGGAGAUGAGCUACGCGGGCCCUCCAGAGUCACAGGAUAGCACUUUAGCGCUGCAGAGCUACACUGCUGAAGAUGACGAUAGAAGCCCCGCUCUCUGGGAGAACAAGGUCCAGAUGGCUUGGGGGGACCCGUCAGUUUUCCUCCACCAGCCACUCUGCUUAUCGGCAACUUCACUUCACUUCAAGGAACAACUGACAGCUCUGUUAAUUAGCACCUUCAGCCGUUUUUCCCAGACACGGACAACACAAAGACUUUCAUAUGUAUUUUUACUCCUGUUCUCUUCCCACAUAUUUAGCCUAUUAUGCCAGUUGGCUUUUCAUUGAUAUCCUGUUAUGCAAAAAAUACCAAAUUAGUGGAGAUAAGGAGUGGAGAUAUGUCUCUGUUUCAAGACAGAAUUGAGUGAGCGGGUAGUUAAAAUUGGUCAGGAAUAAAUAGAAUCAUCAUUAACAACAGAAGUGUAGUUAGUUAGUAAACUGGUUAUUUGCUCUACUUUAUGACAUGAUUUAUUGUAGCAAACUUGAAGUGAACUUCCCAUUACCUCUAAAUGUUAGUUGUAAUGACCACAAUAGAGGAAACAAAAAAAAACAAAAAAAAAAAGAUGUUGACCCCUUUAUUGACAUUAACAAAUAUAUGAUUAUCACAGCAUUGAAAACUAAUAAUACAGACAAUAAAAACUUGAGUCAUUAUAAAUCCAUCGCCUCAUCGUUAUCAUCACCACUGUCACAGUCUCUACACCACCACUGAACUACUUUGUCUGAAACUGAAAGCCAUAAGACACAGUUCACAGUGGCAUCA